CCCGCACAAGCGGUGGAGCAUGUGGUUUAAUUCGAUGCAACGCGAAGAACCUUACCUGGGCUUGACAUCCCGGGAAUCCCUUGGAAACAAGGGAGUGCCCUUCGGGGAACCUGGAGACAGGUGCUGCAUGGCUGUCGUCAGCUCGUGUCGUGAGAUGUAGGGUUAAGUCCCGCAACGAGCGCAACCCUUGUCUUUAAUUGCCAUCAUUGAGUUGGGCACUUUAAAGAGACUGCCGGUGUUAAACCGGAGGAAGGUGGGGAUGACGUCAAGUCCUCAUGGCCUUUAUGCCCAGGGCUACACACGUGCUACAAUGGUUGGUACAACGAGUUGCGAGUCGGUGACGGCGAGCUAAUCUCUUAAAGCCAAUCUCAGUUCGGAUUGUAGGCUGCAACUCGCCUACAUGAAGUCGGAAUCGCUAGUAAUCGCGGAUCAGCACGCCGCGGUGAAUACGUUCCCGGGCCUU
rnacentral:rRNA from 1 species